rnacentral:rRNA from 1 species
AUUGAACGCUGGCGGCAUGCCCUACACAUGCAAGUCGAACGGCAGCAUGAUCUAGCUUGCUAGAUUGAUGGCGAGUGGCGAACGGGUGAGUAAUACAUCGGAACGUGCCCUGUAGUGGGGGAUAACUAGUCGAAAGAUUAGCUAAUACCGCAUACGACCUGAGGGUGAAAGUGGGGGACCGCAAGGCCUCAUGCUAUAGGAGCGGCCGAUGUCUGAUUAGCUAGUUGGUGAGGUAAAGGCUCACCAAGGCGACGAUCAGUAGCUGGUCUGAGAGGACGAUCAGCCACACUGGGACUGAGACACGGCCCAGACUCCUACGGGAGGCAGCAGUGGGGAAUUUUGGACAAUGGGCGAAAGCCUGAUCCAGCAAUGCCGCGUGUGUGAAGAAGGCCUUCGGGUUGUAAAGCACUUUUGUCCGGAAAGAAAUGGCUCUGGUUAAUACCUGGGGUCGAUGACGGUACCGGAAGAAUAAGGACCGGCUAACUACGUG